rnacentral:rRNA from 1 species
AGUGAACGCUGGCGGUAGGCCUAACACAUGCAAGUCGAACGGCAGCACAGUAAGAGCUUGCUCUUACGGGUGGCGAGUGGCGGACGGGUGAGGAAUACAUCGGAAUCUACUUUUUCGUGGGGGAUAACGUAGGGAAACUUACGCUAAUACCGCAUACGACCUACGGUUGAAAGCGGGGGAUCUUCGCACCUUGCGCGAUUGAAUGAGCCGAUGUCGGAGUAGCUAGUUGGAGGGCUAAAGGCCCACCAAGGCGACGAUCCGUAGCUGGUCUGAGAGGAUGAUCAGCGACACUGGAACUGAGACACGGUCCAGACUCCUACGGGAGGCAGCAGUGGGGAAUAUUGGACAAUGGGCGCAAGCCUGAUCCAGCCAUACCGCGUGGGUGAAGAAGGCCUUCGGGUUGUAAAGCCCUUUUGUUGGGAAAGAAAAGCAGCAGGUUAAUACCCCGCUGUUCUGACGGUACCCAAAGAAUAAGCACCGGCUAACUUCGUG